ACUCCUACGGGAGGCAGCAGUGGGAAUCUUGCGCAAUGGGCGAAAGCCUGACGCAGCAACGCCGCGUGAGUGAUGAAGGCCUUCGGGUCGUAAAGCUCUGUCAGGAGGGAAGAAUAAAUGACGGUACCUCCAAAGGAAGCACCGGCUAACUCCGUGCCAGCAGCCGCGGUAAUACGGAGGGUGCAAACGUUGCUCGGAAUCAUUGGGCGUAAAGCGCGCGUAGGCGGCCUAGUAAGUCUGAUGUGAAAGCCCAGGGCUCAACCCUGGAAAGCCAGUCAAAACUGCCAAACUAGAGUACAGUAGAGGGUGGUGGAAUUUCCGGUGUAGCGGUGAAAUGCGUAGAGAUCGGAAGGAACACCAGUGGCGAAGGCGGCCACCUGGACUGAUACUGACACUGAGGCGCGAAAGCGUGGGUAGCGAACAGGAUUAGAUACCCUGUAGGUCAGUC
rnacentral:rRNA from 1 species